rnacentral:lncRNA from 10 species
UUCCAGGUUGCUCACAGACCCCCUCUAGGAGAUGUUACUGUCGCUCAUUCGUAUUUCCGGUUCUACUCCUCUUCCGGGCACACUGGAGAAUUACACUUCCUUGCUGACUUGAGAUAAGUCACAGCUUUGGCCAAUGAAGUGUGAAUGGAAGUUUUCAGAACCUUUAAGAGCCUGUACGCAAUUUGCCAUGCUUUCUCUUUUUGCUUUGUCACCAAAACCUCUGUGUUCCAGAUAGUGACUACUCUGUCUGCGUGGGUCCUGGAGAGAGGAGGAUGCAGAGCACAGCACUUAGCCAACCUGCAAUGGACACGUAGAAAACCUCAAGAAAGGCUCUGGCCUAGACUUGCCCCUUGUUCCUGUCUUCUGGCUCUUGACUGACACUGGUGCUUUCCCCCUGUGGUCCUGCAUGGUGUGUGGUGACUACCUCAUUGGGCCCUAAAACUUCUAAAAUCAUCAGGAGAUAUCACUGAAAAGGUUUCAAAACAAAGCCAUAAUCUCUAGAAAUGUGUCCUUGAUGGGUUGGUCUUCAUUUGCCUGAAGGACCGAGAAGAUUGAUGAGUCCUCAACCCGUGCAUGUCUUCAAAAAGCCACCAACUGAUAGCUACAAAACUGCACUUCCUAGAGACAUGUUGAGAGAGGUUCAAGGCUCAACAGAACUUACCCUUUUGCUGUCAGAGCUCCACCACCAGAUAAGCACAACUGAGCGAAUGACACCAACCAGUGCCAAGAGAAGCAGGACUACCCAACUACACUUUGCCUAAAUUCCUGAUUCACAGAAUUAUAAGCAAAUAAAAUGAUUGUUUAAAGCACUAAGUUUUGGGUUCAUUUGUUAUGCGGCAAUAAAGAAUCAAAACACCUGGAACCCAGUUCCCUUCUCUUUUAUUACCCACAUGGUCUCUCUCCUGUAGUGUCGCUGUUUUUCCUGACUAGCUUUCUCAUCCUGCUGUUACACCCUUACUAGGAAUUUCUCUCAGCAAUAUCCAGUUAAAAUUCCGGAAGGGAAUAGGCUGGUUGGCUUUGCUCAUUGUCUCACUUUUCUUGGGCAGAACCUUUUGUACCAAUCCAUUUCAUCAGCAUUUUUAUGGGUGAAUCUUAGUUGACCAGGUACCGACUCUCGUCAAAUUACUGUCUGACUCUACACAAGAAAUAUACAAAGAGCCUGGUGCUGCUUUCCUGAGCAGGACAGUUCAUAGGGACAUUGAGCAUGGUUGGCAUCUAACCUGGUUAUUCUGAAGAUUUCAUGAUUAAAUCCUCAGUCCUAUGAAUUAACCAAUUGUCCAGUGUUAAAAUACAGACACCCCCUGCACACAUGAAACUGCUCAUCAAUUGUUUAAACUUUAACAUAUGUAAAAGGUGUCCAGUAGGAGCUAGCUGAAUCUGAGCAUUAAUGCUGGAAAAGGAGGAGGAGGCCUGAGAUCUUUGGCUGCUUGGUAGAGUAAAGGUGGUAGAAAGAAGUCAACAAGAACUUAAAGGAAAGAUCAAAGGACAGUGAAAGAACAUUUUUCCUAGUUUUGCCUAGAGCAGGCUUUUGAUUAAAGGUAGAGUGCUGACUCUCUAAAGAUAGAUAUCUAAAAGGAUUCUUCUAGAUACAUGAGAGCACAGGAAAGAUUGUGCAAGGGCAUAAAUAUGAGCAUACUAUAGUGAUUAAGACCAUGUGACAUUAAAGGAAGAGGAAGAUGGAAAAAAAGGUACAUGAAGAAUAUAAACAAGAGGUUGGUGCCUAGAAAAAGAGGAAGAUAGUAGAAAGUUUGGGAAGUAUAGAAAGUAUAAGAUCCUUUAGGAGUUGUUCUUUAUAUACUACUAUUUGCUAAACUUCAAUGUUUAAAAUUCAGCAUUUGUAGAGCAAGCGUAGGUAUACAGCUAUUAUUAAAUUCUAAUAUGUAAUGGUCUGUAUACUUCCAGAAGCUUUCAGAGUUUUGAAUUGAUAUUCCAUUAUAAAUUUUUUAGGAAUUCACCAUUUGUAAUGCACAUGUCUAGUGAUAAUUCUUUCCCUCAGCCCCACCCCCCAGAUCUUUAUAUGUCUGGUAAUUUCUCAUCAUUCAGGCUUUCGUUGAAACGGAAAUGCCUCAGAAAGCCUUUUGCUUUCUUAACCAUCCUUGGCAAGAAGAAUUCCAUGAUGGACCCUCCAGGUUCCUAGCCUUGAUAUACACACAUCUCUCAGUUAUUCAGUAAAACACACUAAUGUAGCUAUUGCUGUAAAGGAAGUAUGGAGAUGAAAUCAAGGUCCCAAAUCUAUUGACCUUUAAAUAAAGAGAUUAACCGGGUGGAACUGACCAAGUCAUAUGAGCCCUUUAAAAUAAAUUUUCUCAACCACAGUGAGAUACGACCUCAUAGCUGUUACAACGGCUAUAUCAAAGAGACAAGAGAGGCUGGGCAUGGUGGCUCACGCCUAUAAUCCCUGCACUUUGGGAGGCAGAGGAGGGUGGGUUACUUGAGGUCAGGUGUUUGAGACCAGCCUGGCCAACAGGCUGAAAGCCCGUCUCUACUAAAAAUACAAAAAUUAACCUGGCAUGGUGGAGGGCAUCUGUAAUCCCAGCAACUCAGCUGAGGCAGAAUAAUUGCUUAAACCCAAGAGAUGGAUGUUGCAGUGAGCCAAAACCACACCACAGCCCUUCAGCCUGGGCAACAGAGUGAGACUCCAUCUUAAAAAAAAAAAAAACAAGAGAUAACAAGUUCAGCUAAUUUAAUGUAUAGCAUGCCAAUUAUAAUUAAUAACAAUGUAACAUACACUUGGAAAUUGCUAAAAGAGUCGAUUUCAAUGUCCUCACCCCAAACAAAUAAUAUGUGAGGUAGUAGAUAUGUUAAUUAGCUUGAUUUUGUCAUUUCACAAUGUGUACAUAUAUCAAAAUAUAUUGUACACCAUAAAUAUAUACAAUUUUUAUUUAUUCAUUUAAAAAUAAGUAAAAAUAAAAAUGGGGCUUAUACUUUAAGAAAUUGAUUUUGGCCAGGCACAGUGGCUCACGCCUGUAAUCCCAGCACUUUGGGAGGCCGAGGUGGGUGGAUCACCUGAGGUCUGGAGUUCGAGACCAGCUUAGCCAACAUGGUGAAACCCCAUCUCUGAUGAAAAUAUAAAAAAUGAGCUGGGUGUGGUGGAAGGCUCCUAUAAUCCCAGCUACCUGAGAGGCUGAGGCAGGAGAAUCACUUGAAGCGGGGUGGUGGAGGUUGCAGUGAGUCGAGAUCGCAUCAUUGCACGCCAGCCUGGGCAACAGGAGCAAAACUCUGCUCAAAAAAAGAAAAAAGAAAAAAGAAAAAAAAAAACUUGAUUUUAUCUGGCUGUUUGAAGAAGUCAGAGAUGUGAAGUUUGUGACGGUUAUCACAUGCCAUUGCUGACAAAGAUGGAGGAAUUCAAGGAAUGUGGCAGGCUACUGGAGCCCAGGGUAGCCCUUGGCUAACAGCCAGCAAGGAGCAAGGAUCUCAGUCCUACAACUACAAGGAACUGGAUUCUGCCAGUAACAGCAAUGAGCUUGGAAGCAGAGUUUUUAUUUCAGCCUUGUGAGACCCUGAGCAGAGAACCCAGCAAUACCAUGCCAGACUUCUGAUCUACAAAGCAGUAUAUAAUAAAUGAGUGUUUUUUAAAUGGCUGAGUUCAUGAUAAUUUGUUACAUAGCAACAGAAAACUAAUUUACCAUCCUAAUCUAAAAUAAGACCCCAUAAUCACACUCCAGUCAUUAUUAUACAUUAGUUUGUUUUUCUUUCUUCAAAAAUAUAUAUAAUAAUUUAUGUAUUAUAUAUAAAACAUAAAAUUAAUAUUUAUUUGCUUGCUUGCUUGCUAAAUAUCUCUUCCCUAAUAUUAUAUUAGACAAUAAGCUUAGUGAGGGAACGUAAAAGGUACCCAAUCAAUAUUUACUUAAAAAAAGAUAAAUGCCUACAUUUAAACAAAUAUUUUUCAAAAAAAGGUUAAUCAAAUCUCAGAGAUACCAUCCCCCCCAAAAAAUUUUUUAAAUAUGUCUUCUAGGCCAGGCGCAGUGGCUCACACCUGUAAUCCCAGCACUUGGGGAGGCUGAGGUGGAAGGACUGCCUGAGUCCAGGAGUUCAAGACCAACCUAGGCAACAUGUUGAGACUCCAUCUCAUAAAAUAAAUUUGUUUUUUAAAGUGUCUUCUGGCCGGGCGCGGUGGCUUACGCCUGUAAUCCCAGCACUUUGGGAGGCCGAGGCGGGCG